UGCAAGGAAUUCAGACAGGAAACACAGAUCCAUAAAAUAUGCACCAAAGACAAAGAUCUUAACAAACUAAGGGAGAUCUUUGUUUCAUAUACAGAUACAUAAACUAACAGUAAAUGCUUCUCAGUACUAAUAUAAGCAAAUUCAUAACCAACACUAAACAUAAAUACUAAUUAAAACAAGAUCUAUGUAUAACCUUAAUGAGUGCAAAAUUUAAACGGCAAAGAGAUUAAUCUAAUUUUAGGAUUCUAAGUUGUUGUAGCAAAUCGGACCAAGAUGCUUAAUUCCCCAUGAGAAUAAGUGAUUUUUAAAGAUUGUUACAAAGAGAAGGAGACCCUUUAUUUCACUUCAAACGUAGACUGAGCUUCUUGUUCUUCUCCUCCUUGUAAUCCAUUGUCAACCGACAAAAGUCCAAUUUUCUGACUUUUUUCUUCUCUGUCUUUGUUGAUGAUGCUACGGAUGAUGAUGAUGGAGACAAUAAUGUUUGUGAAGAAGAAAGGUAAGGUGGGUGGCGGGGCAGUCGAGAACAUGAUGAUUGCUUUUUUGGUUCAGCCGUUGAAAAUUGAGACGAGAGAGAGAGAGAACCUAAGUCUUGUUUUCCUACUCUCUUUCUUUCCCACCGAGGAUUGUGUUUCCUAUCGAGAGAGG
rnacentral:lncRNA from 1 species